rnacentral:rRNA from 1 species
UACGAAGGGGGUUAGCGUUGCUCGGAAUGACUGGGCGUAAAGGGCUCGUAGGCGGCCAACUAAGUCAGACGUGAAAUCCCCAGGCUCAACCUGGGAACUGCGUCUGAUACUGGAUGGCUUGAAUUCGGGAGAGGGAUGCAGAAUUCCAGGUGUAGCGGUGAAAUGCGUAGAUAUCUGGAGGAAUACCGGUGGCGAAGGCGGCAUCCUGGACCGACAUUGACGCUGAGGAGCGAAAGCUAGGGGAGCAAACGGG